rnacentral:rRNA from 1 species
AACGAACGCUGGCGGCAGGCCUAACACAUGCAAGUCGAGCGAGACCUUCGGGUCUAGCGGCGGACGGGUGAGUAACGCGUGGGAAUAUGCCCUUUUCUACGGAAUAGCCUCGGGAAACUGAGAGUAAUACCGUAUACGCCCUUCGGGGGAAAGAUUUAUCGGAGAAGGAUUAGCCCGCGUUGGAUUAGGUAGUUGGUGGGGUAAUGGCCUACCAAGCCUACGAUCCAUAGCUGGUUUGAGAGGAUGAUCAGCCACACUGGGACUGAGACACGGCCCAGACUCCUACGGGAGGCAGCAGUGGGGAAUCUUAGACAAUGGGGGAAACCCUGAUCUAGCCAUGCCGCGUGAGUGAUGAAGGCCUUAGGGUUGUAAAGCUCUUUCAGCUGGGAAGAUAAUGACGGUACCAGCAGAAGAAGCCCCGGCUAACUCCGUGCCAGCAGCCGCCGUAAUAC